AAUAUUGUACAAGGGGGGCAACCCUGAUCCAGCCAUGCGGCGCGUGUGAAGAAGGUCUUCUGAUUGUAAAGCACUUUAAGGUGGGAGGAAGGGCUUUAGUCUAUUACCCUGAAGUUUUCACGUUACCAACAGAAUAAACACCGUCUAACUCUGUGCAAGCAGCCGCGGUAAUACAAAGGUUGCAAGCGUUAAUCGGAAUUACUGGGCGUAAAGCGCGCGUAGGUGGUUCAGGAAGAUGAGUGUGAAAUCCCCAGGCUUAACCUGGGAACUGCUUUCAUAACUGCUGAGCUAGAGUACGGUAGAGGGUAGUGGAAUUUCCUGUGUAGCGGUGAAAUGCGUAGAUAUAGGAAGGAACACCAGUGGCGAAGGCGACUACCUGGACUGAUACUGACACUGAGGUGCGAAAGCGUGGGGAGCAAACA
rnacentral:rRNA from 1 species